AAUGGAAUAAUGUAUGCAAGGGAAUUCAGUAAAAUUGACCCGUAACUUCGGGAAAAGGAUUGGCUCUGAGAGCUGGGCAUGGGGGUCCCAAUCUCGAACCUGUAUGCUAUUGGUGGACUGCUUGAGCUGCUCCCGCGAUGAGAGCGGGUUGCUGUGGGCUGGUCGGGUAACGGACUAGCAAUGGUUCCUUCAGGGGCCUUCCCCGCGUAUUGAACAAAUAACUCAUAACUGGUACAAACGAGAGGAAUCCGACUUUUUAAUUAAAACAAAUCAUUGCGAUAGUCCUAACGGAUGUUCACGCAAUAUGAUUUAUACCCAAUUCUCUGAAUGUCAAAGUAAAGAAAUUCAACCAAGCGCGGGUAAAUGGCGGGAGUAACUAUGACUCUCUUAAGGUAGCCAAAUGCCUCAUCAUCUAAUUAGUGACACGCAUGAUUGGAUUAAUGAGAUUCCCACUGUCCCUGUCUACCAUCCAGAAAAACCACAGCCAAGGGAACGGGCUUCGCAGAAUCUAUAAGGAAAGAAGACCCUGUAGAAUUUGCCUCUAGUCCAACUUUGUGAAAUAACUUGAGAGAUGUAGUAUAAAUGGGAGCCGAAAGGCCAAAGUGAAAUACCAUUACUUUUAAUGUUAUUUUACUUAUUUUGCGAAUUGAAAGUGGAGCACUGCCCCUCUUUUUGGACCCAAGGCAUGCUCUACGGGCCGAUCCUGGUUAAAGACAUUGUCAUGUGGGGAGUAUGGCUGGGAUGGCACAUUUGUUAAAAGAAAAUGCAGGUGUCCUAAGAUGAGCUCAAUGAGAAUAGAAAUCUUAUGUGGAAUAAAAGAGUAAAAGCUCUUUCAAUUUUGAUUUCCAGUACGAAUACGAACCGUAAAAGUGUGGCCUAAUGAUUCUUUAGACCUUUGAAAUUCGAUGCUAGAGGUGUCACAAAAUUUACCAUAGGGAUAACUGGUUUGUGGCAGCCAAGAAUUUAUAGCGACGUUGCUUUUUGAUCCUUUGAUGUCGGCUCUUCCUAUCAUUGAGAGGCAGAAUUCACCAAGUGUUGGAUUGUUCACCCACCAAUAGGGAAUAUGAGAUGGGGUUAGACCGUUGUGAGACUGGUUAGUAUUACCCUACUGAUGACAGUAUUCUAAUAGUAAUUCAACCUAGUACGAGAGGAAUUGUUGAUUCACAUAAUUGGUUAUCGUGCUUGGUUGAAAAUCCAGUGGCACGAAGCUACCAUGUAUUGGAUUAUGACUGAAUGCCUCUAAGUAAGAAUUCGAGCAACAAGCAAUACAUGCGCCCACCGUCCACUUGCCAACCCACAGUAGGGGCCUCAUCCCCUAAGGGCACGUGUCGUUGGCUAUGCCAUCAUGACGGAAGGGUCGCGGUGGCCACCUUGAAGUACAAUUUCAAUCUAACACUGGGUAGAAUUCUUUGUAGAUGACUUAGAUAUGCAAUGGGGUAUUGUAAGUGGCAGAGUGGCCUUGCUGCGAUGAUCCACUGAGAUUCAUCCCUUUAUCGCUUUGGUUC
rnacentral:ncRNA from 1 species